GCCGGGCGUGGUGACUCACGCCUGUAAUCCCAGCCCUUUGGGAGGCUGAGGCGGGUGGAUCACCUGAGGUCAGGAGUUUGAGACCAGCCUGGCCAACAUGGUAAAACCCCGUCUCUA
rnacentral:SRP_RNA from 1 species